rnacentral:misc_RNA from 1 species
GUCAGAUUCAUAUCGGCGGUAAGGUAAUAUCAGAGUCUUUUGCCCACGAGGAUCCACAUGUUCCACACUAAAUCCAAUAUCCACGUUCAUCUUGCCUUGCAUCAAAGAGAAAUCCCAAGCAAUAUAUGAGUUUAUUGAGUCCACUAACAAUGAAACCUCAUGGGUUUUCCCAGCUGGAACAAUUAUCUCUUUGAAUUCAUCAUUCGUCCUUGCAUCUAGUGUACCAGCAACUUCUGCUGAAAUAAAGAAAGGAGAAUUUGCAAAUACCUCACUGAUGAAGUUUAUAAAUCUUUCAAA